rnacentral:rRNA from 1 species
ACAGAGGUGGCAAGCGUUGUUCGGAAUUACUGGGCGUAAAGCGUGCGCAGGCGGUUUCGUAAGUCUGUCGUGAAAUCCCCGGGCUUAACCUGGGAACUGCAUUUGUGACUGUACGGCUAGAGUGCGGCAGAGGGGGAUGGAAUUCCGCGUGUAGCAGUGAAAUGCGUAGAUAUGCGGAGGAACACCGAUGGCGAAGGCAAUCCCCUGGGCCUGCACUGACGCUCAUGCACGAAAGCGUGGGGAGCAAACAGGA